UAUUAUGUGGUAUUUCAUCCAGAACCGAUAAUCUUUCCGAGUACCAACUACGAACAAAUAUUAACACAAUGAUGAAUAUUAAGUAUUUUACUUUAUUAUGUGUAACAUAUUUUACUACAAUGGUAAUUUCUAUCGAUGAAGAGCAAAUAAAUAAUCUGUGGAAUGCGAUAAAAUAUGGCGAUAACGACUAUAUAAACUUUAACAACUUCCUUGAGUAUUAUGAACGCGAGGAAGCAAAUGAAUUUCUUGGCUUAACACGAAAAUAUGGAACUGAAUGUUUGAAUGAUAUAGGUAAAAAAGAAUUCAGAAUUAGAAAAGCCCAAUUCACCAAAGCCGCGUUAAAAGGUCUCAUACCAAGAUGGCCUAUAUCUGUGAUACGUGAUGAAUUUAAAAAAAUUGCCUAGUAGAAAAUUACCAACUCUAUAUUACUAUCAACGACAUGAAAAACUACUAUAAAGAAGAUGAAUAUACUUCAGAGGAACUCGAUGAUAUUAUGGCUGAUUUCGGAGCUUCGUCGGGCGGAGAAUGGAAAUUAUUAUACAAUGGCUUUAAAACAGCCAUGAACGUUGGUCGUCUUCCGGAACCCAAAUAGAAUACUAUUGAGAUGGUCGCCAA